GCGAGGAUGGCAGAGUUGGCAGACGCGCCAGACUUAGGAUCUGGUGGGGCAACCUGUGCGGGUUCGAGUCUCGAUCCUCGCACCA
rnacentral:tRNA from 1 species